CCACGGAGGCAGCAGUGGGGAAUAUUGGACAAUGGGCGAAAGCCUGAUCCAGCCAUGCCGCGUGUGUGAAGAAGGCCUUCGGGUUGUAAAGCACUUUCAGUGGGGAAGAAAGCCUUGGGGCUAAUACCCUCGAGGAAGGACAUCACCCACAGAAGAAGCACCGGCUAACUCCGUGCCAGCAGCCGCGGUAAUACGGAGGGUGCGAGCGUUAAUCGGAAUUACUGGGCGUAAAGCGCGCGUAGGCGGUCUGAUAAGCCGGUUGUGAAAGCCCCGGGCUCAACCUGGGAACGGCAUCCGGAACUGUCAGGCUAGAGUGCAGGAGAGGAAGGUAGAAUUCCCGGUGUAGCGGUGAAAUGCGUAGAGAUCGGGAGGAAUACCAGUGGCGAAGGCGGCCUUCUGGACUGACACUGACGCUGAGGUGCGAAAGCGUGGGUAGCAAACAGGAUUAGAUACCCCGGUAGUC
rnacentral:rRNA from 1 species